rnacentral:rRNA from 1 species
AAUGGGCGAAACGUGACGGAGCAACGCCGCGUGAGUAAUGAAGGUCUUCGGAUCGUAAAACUCUGUUAUUAGGGAAGAACAAAUGUGUAAGUAACUAUGCACGUCUUGACGGUACCUAAUCAGAAAGCCACGGCUAACUACGUGCCAGCAGCCGCGGUAAUACGUAGGUGGCAAGCGUUAUCCGGAAUUAUUGGGCGUAAAGCGCGCGUAGGCGGUUUUUUAAGUCUGAUGUGAAAGCCCACGGCUCAACCGUGGAGGGUCAUUGGAAACUGGAAAACUUGAGURCAGAAGAGGAAAGUGGAAUUCCAUGUGUAGCGGUGAAAUGCGCAGAGAUAUGGAGGAACACCAGUGGCGAAGGCGACUUUCUGGUCUGUAACUGACGCUGAUGUGCGAAAGCGUGGGGAUCAAACAGGAUUAGAUACCCUGGUAGUCCACGCCGUAAACGAUGAGUGCUAAGUGUUAGGGGGUUUCCGCCCCUUAGUGCUGCAGCUAACGCAUUAAGCACUCCGCCUGGGGAGUACGACCGCAAGGUUG